rnacentral:SRP_RNA from 1 species
GGGUAAGUCCUGUACGACCAGCUCCCGUCUAAUCCCCCAGGGUAGGAAUACAGCAAGGGUCGAUGGUUGUAGCGGUGCGAUACAGGUAGCUUACCCACU